GUUCCCUGUGAUGUCUCAUAUCUGACCAUGCUAAUUCUGAAUAUUAUUUGAUUGAGAUUUAUUCUUAUCAGUUUUCUGAGGGAACC
rfam:Daucus carota subsp. sativus cultivar DH1 chromosome 1, whole genome shotgun sequence.